GCCCCGGUAGCUCAGCCCGGUAGAGCGGGUGACUUGUAAUCACCAGGUCGCGGGUUCGAAUCCCGCCCGGGGCUCCA
rnacentral:tRNA from 1 species